UACGAAGGGGGCUAGCGUUGCUCGGAAUUACUGGGCGUAAAGCGCGCGUAGGCGGGUCGUUAAGUCGGGGGUGAAAUCCUGGAGCUCAACUCCAGAACUGCCUUCGAUACUGGCGAUCUUGAGUCCGGGAGAGGUGAGUGGAACUCCGAGUGUAGAGGUGAAAUUCGUAGAUAUUCGGAAGAACACCAGUGGCGAAGGCGGCUCACUGGCCCGGUACUGACGCUGAGGUGCGAAAGCUAGGGGAGCGAAUGGG
rnacentral:rRNA from 1 species